rnacentral:rRNA from 1 species
AAUGAACGUUGGCGGCAUGGAUUAGGCAUGCAAGUCGAGCGAGAACCGUAGCAAUACGGGGAAAGCGGCGAAAGGGAGAGUAAUGUGUGGAUAUCUACCUCCAGGCCUGGGACAACUACGGGAAACUGUAGCUAAUACCAGAUAAUGUCUGCGGACCAAAGGUGUGAUUCCUCCGGGAGAUGAGUCCACAUCCUAUUAGCUAGUUGGUAGGGUAAUGGCCUACCAAGGCAAUGAUGGGUAGCAGGUGUGAGAGCACGACCUGCCUCAUUGGGACUGAGACACUGCCCAGACACCUACGGGUGGCUGCAGUCGAGAAUCUUCGGCAAUGGGCGCAAGCCUGACCGAGCGAUGCCGCGUGCGGGAUGAAGGCCUUCGGGUUGUAAACCGCUGUCAGAGGGGAUGAAAUACGUCGGGGGUUCUCCCCCGGGUUUGACAUAUCCUCAGAGGAAGGACGGGCUAAGUUCGUGCCAGCAGCCGCAGUAACAC